UCCGGCCAUGCUGCACUGUUCGAAACCAGCUCUACAUCCCAGCCAAUCAGUGACAUCACUGCGGACAAUGAUAACCACCUAUCCCUUAUUGGCCUGUAUAGAUGAUAUGAG
rnacentral:lncRNA from 1 species